AUUGAACGCUGGCGGCAGGCCUAACACAUGCAAGUCGAGCGGAUGAAGGGAGCUUGCUCCUGGAUUCAGCGUCGGACGGGUGAGUAAUGCCUAGGAAUCUGCCUGGUAGUGGGGGAUAACGUCCGGAAACGGGCGCUACUACCGCCUACGUCCUGAGGGAGCUAGUUGGGGAUCUUCGGACCUCACGCUAUCAGAUGAGCCUAGGGCGGAUUAGCUAGUUGGUGGGGUAAAGGCCUACCAAGGCGACGAUCCGUAACUGGUCGGGAAGGAUGAUAAGUCACAUUGGAAGUGGGACACGGACAAGAGGACUGCGGGAGGCAGCAGUGGGGAAUAGUGGGCAAUGGGCGAAAGUAUGAACCAGCCAUGCGGCGUGUGUGAAGAAGGUCUUCGGAUUGGAAAGAACUUUAAGGUGGGAGGAAGGGCAGUAAGUUAAUACCUUGCGGGUUUGACGUUAAUAGCAGAAGAAGCACCGGCUAACUACGUG
rnacentral:rRNA from 1 species